GUGUCAGCCGCCGCGGUAAUACGGAGUGUGCAAGCGUUACUCGGAAUCACUGGGCAUAAAGGGCGUGUAGGCGGGCUUUCAAGUCGGUUGUGAAAUCCCUCAGCUCAACUGAGGAACUGCAUCCGAUACUGUUUGUCUUGAGGACGAGAGGGGAGAGUGGAACUUCUGGUGGAGCGGUGAAAUGCGUAGAUAUCAGAAGGAACACCGGUGGCGAAAGCGACUCUCUGGCUCGUAUCUGACGCUGAAACGCGAAAGCUUGGGUAGCAAACGGGAUUAGAUACCCUGGUAGUCC
rnacentral:rRNA from 1 species